AGUGAACGCUGGCGGUAGGCCUAACACAUGCAAGUCGAACGGCAGCACAGUAAGAGCUUGCUCUUACGGGUGGCGAGUGGCGGACGGGUGAGGAAUACAUCGGAAUCUACUUUUUCGUGGGGGAUAACGUAGGGAAACUUACGCUAAUACCGCAUACGACCUACGGGUGAAAGCAGGGGAUCUUCGGACCUUGCGCGAUUGAAUGAGCCGAUGUCGGACUAGCUAGUUGGCGGGGUAAAGGCCCACCAAGGCGACGAUCCGUAGCUGGUCUGAGAGGAUGAUCAGCCACACUGGAACUGAGACACGGUCCAGACUCCUACGGGAGGCAGCAGUGGGGAAUAUUGGACAAUGGGGGCAAGCCUGAUCCAGCCAUACCGCGUGGGUGAAGAAGGCCUUCGGGUUGUAAAGCCCUUUUGUUGGGAAAGAAAAGCAGCAGGUUAAUACCCCGCUGUUCUGACGGUACCCAAAGAAUAAGCACCGGCUAACUUUGUG
rnacentral:rRNA from 1 species